rnacentral:rRNA from 1 species
AGAGUUUGAUCAUGGCUCAGGACGAACGCUGGCGGCGUGCUUAACACAUGCAAGUUGAGCGGAGAUAUGGAGAGCUUGCUCUUUAUAUUUUAGCAGCGAACGGGUGAGUAACACGUAGAUAAUUUGUCAUAUAUUGGGGGAUAGGCCGAUGAAAAUUGGAUUAAUACCGCAUACAGCUAUUUAACCGCAUGGGGAGAUAGUGAAAGGGGAAACUUGAUAUAGGAGGAGUCUGCGGCACAUUAGCUAGUAGGUGAGGUAAGAGCUCACCUAGGCGACGAUGUGUAGCCGG